rnacentral:rRNA from 1 species
UGGCACCUCGAUGUCGGCUCAUCGCAUCCUGGGGCUGGAGAAGGUCCCAAGGGUUUGGCUGUUCGCCAAUUAAAGCGGUACGUGAGCUGGGUUUAGAACGUCGUGAGACAGUUCGGUCCCUAUCUGUGGUGGGCGUAGGAUAUUUGAGAGGGGCUGUCCCUAGUACGAGAGGACCGGGAUGGACGAACCUCUAGUGUACCAGUUGUUCCGCCAGGAGCAUCGCUGGGUAGCUACGUUCGGAAUGGAUAACCGCUGAAAGCAUCUAAGCGGGAAACCAGCCUCGAGAAUAGAUAUCCCUCUUCGGUGAGAGCCGAGGACUAAAGGCCCCUGGUAGACUACCAGGUUGAUAGGCCAGUAGUGUAAGUGUGGCAACACAUUUAGCUUACUGGUACUAAUUGGCCGUGCGGCUUGGCCAU